rnacentral:lncRNA from 9 species
AAUAGCAUUGAAUGUCUACCUCUGGAUUCUCUCAAGCUGGACAUCCUUCCAGAGCUGCUUUCCCAGGAGACCAUCUUAUCUUUUUCUGACUGGUCAUUACUCAAGGAAUCUUGGAGCAAGAGCUUGAGGUUCUCUUUGGUUCCAAGUUAUUCCUAGCUGCUGAGAGUCACAAAUUCUGUCUGAAUAACUGGGUAAACUUUUCAGAGAGGAGCCUCAUUUGUAAGCGAAAAUAAAAGGAAGAAAACAAAGUUUACUGAAGAGGUGCCUGAGAAAGACAGCCCAUUCAAACCAACCCUCCUCCAUC